rnacentral:lncRNA from 1 species
CUCCAUGAUAAUCUUCCAGCCCUAGGUAAAGGUGUUUGUUUAUCACACCCCCUGAAGUAUGGGCACUCAGCAGCUGAGAGCUGGAACCAGAGGGGAAGUUCCCAGUCAACUAGAAGAACAAAGCAUGUGUAUGAACUGGUACUUCACGCUUCUGCCUUACAUCUGAAGAAGGAUCAUGCAAUUACCUUUACUGAGAUUGUUGCAAGUGAUAGUUCAGAAAAUCAUGGGUUUCAGAGUUACUUGCAUUUGGAUUCUUGGCACUUCUGGAAGAAAAAAAAAGAUCUUGAGAAGAUUAAAAGUAUUGCAGACCACAGAGAGGAGGACAGUCAAGGAGGAAAGGUGGGAAACAACAGUGUGAGGGACUCAUGGAGGAAACUGAUACCAACUUUUCCUGGGAUGUGA